rnacentral:rRNA from 1 species
GAUGAACGCUGGCGGCGUGCCUAAUACAUGCAAGUCGAGCGAACGGACGAGAAGCUUGCUUCUCUGAUGUUAGCGGCGGACGGGUGAGUAACACGUGGAUAACCUACCUAUAAGACUGGGAUAACUUCGGGAAACCGGAGCUAAUACCGGAUAAUAUUUUGAACCGCAUGGUUCAAAAGUGAAAGACGGUCUUGCUGUCACUUCUAGAUGGAUCCGCGCUGCAUUAGCUAGUUGGUAAGGUAACGGCUUACCAAGGCAACGAUGCAUAGCCGACCUGAGAGGGUGGUCGGCCACACUGGGACUGAGACACGGUACAGAGGCCUACGGGAGGCAGCAGUAGGGAAUCGUGCGCAAUGGGCGAAAGCCUGACGGAGCAACGCCGCGGGAGUGAUGAAGGUCUUCGGAUCGGAAAACUCUGUUAUUAGGGAAGAACAUAUGUGUAAGUAACUGUGCACAUCUUGACGGUACCUAAUCAGAAAGCCACGGCUAACUACGUG